rnacentral:lncRNA from 1 species
UACAACCCAAUUUUAGCCCGGGCCAACACCAAAUGAACCCAAACCAAAUCAAAAACAAAAACAACCCAAAAGGCCCACAUGAAAACCCUGAGCCCACAACCUAAAGUUUUCAGAAAAGAAAACCUAAACCCUAAUGCCCACUUUGUGCCGCUACCCCCAUGUGCGGUGUCAGCACACCCACCGCCCGAGGACUGGCCACCUUGCACCAAAAUGGCAAGCUUCAUCUCUGACCCCCAGCCCUGCAAAACACAACAGAAGCAAAACAGUAGAAAAUAACAAUGUAAUCAUCUAUAAGAGCCAAAUGAAAUGUAAUGAAAAUAAGGGGAGUUCGAUUGAAAAUAUAAAAAAUAUUGUUGAAUCAAUAAAAAAUCGAAAAUCUUUGAAGAAAGGUGUUCUUAUUUCCUCUUUUUCAUUUAGUCUCUGGAUUUUUUUUGUUUUUUAAGCAUAUAUAUAAGGUUAUAUAUAUAUAAACGAGGAGAAUCCUUACCUGCGCUGUCGCCAGACCUAAAUCGAAAAAAG